GGCGCACGGGUGAGUAACGCGUUAGAUAAUCUGCCCGACGAUCUGGGAUAACAGUUCGAAAGGACUGCUAAUACCGGAUAAGCCCACGUGGUCUUUGGACCGUGCGGGAAAAGGGGGGGACCUUCGGGCCUUCUGUCGUCGGAUGAGUCUGCGUACCAUUAGCUAGUUGGUAGGGUAAUGGCCUACCAAGGCUACGAUGGUUAGCUGGUCUGAGAGGAUGAUCAGCCACACUGGAACUGAGACACGGUCCAGACUCCUAC
rnacentral:rRNA from 1 species